GAAGUCUAUUUAACAAAUAGACUGCUGUUGAUGUUGCUUCAGCCCAAAACUCUUUAGGUAGGCUCUUUUCUUCUAGAAGACAUCUUCCCAUCUCUACUACUGAUCUAUUCUUCCUUUCACACACACCAUUCUGUUGUGGUGAGUAGCUCACUGUCAGUUGAUGAUCUAUGCCACUGUUAGCACAAAAAUUUUGGAAAUCAUGGGAAACAUACUCUUUCCCAUUAUCAGAUCUCAAGGCCUUCAACUUGCAUCCACUUUGCAAUUCCACCAUGGAUUUGAACUUCUUGAAAACUUCAAGAACAUUCCCCUUAUUCUUCAAAAAAUAAAUCCAUGUCAUCCUUGUAAAGUCAUCAAUGAAUAGCACAAAAUAUCUACUUUUGCCAAAAGAUUCCAUGCUCAUUGGACCACAAAUAUCUGUGUAAACCAACUCCAACUUGUUC
rnacentral:misc_RNA from 1 species